UCCGGUUUGACACCGGCAGUCUCGCUAGAGUCCUCAGCAUUACCUGUUAGUAACUAACGACAAGGGUUGCGCUCGUUAAGGGACUUAACCCGACGCUUCACAGCACGAGCUGACGACAGCCAUGCAGCACCUGUGAUGGUUCCACUCUUGCGAGCGUCAUUGAUGUUUCCACCAACUAAUCCCAUCAUGUCAAACCCAGGUAAGGUUCUUCGCGUUGCUUCGAAUUGAGCCACAUGCUCCACCGCUUGUGUGAGCCCCCGUCAAUUUCUUUGAGUUUUAGCCUUGCGACCGUACUCCCCAGGCGGUACGCUUACCAAUUUCUCUACAAUCCCGAUGGCGUCAGAGCCACCGUGAUUCAGCGUACAUCGUUUAGGGCGUGGACUAC
rnacentral:misc_RNA from 1 species